rnacentral:rRNA from 1 species
UACGUAGGGUGCGAGCGUUAAUCGGAAUUACUGGGCGUAAAGCGUGCGCAGGCGGUUUUAUAAGCCAGAUGUGAAAGCCCCGGGCUCAACCUGGGAAUGGCAUUUGGGACUGUAAGGCUGGAGUAUGGCAGAGGAGACUAGAAUUCCUGGUGUAGCAGUGAAAUGCGUAGAUAUCCGGAGGAACACCGGUGGCGAAGGCGGCUUCCUGGACCGACACUGACGCUGAGGCGCGAAAGCUAGGGGAGCAAACGGG